rnacentral:rRNA from 1 species
GUUGAACGCUGGCGGCAUGCCUUACACAUGCAAGUCGAACGGUAACGCGGGGCAACCUGGCGACGAGUGGCGAACGGGUGAGUAAUGCAUCGGAACGUGCCCAGUAGUGGGGGAUAGCCCGGCGAAAGCCGGAUUAAUACCGCAUACGACCUACGGGUGAAAGCGGGGGACCGUAAGGCCUCGCGCUGUUGGAGCGGCCGAUGUCAGAUUAGGUAGUUGGUGGGGUAAAGGCCUACCAAGCCUUCGAUCUGUAGCUGGUCUGAGAGGACGACCAGCCACACUGGGACUGAGACACGGCCCAGACUCCUACGGGAGGCAGCAGUGGGGAAUUUUGGACAAUGGGCGCAAGCCUGAUCCAGCCAUGCCGCGUGCGGGAAGAAGGCCU